rnacentral:rRNA from 1 species
GUGCCAGCAGCCGCGGUAAUACGUAGGUGGCAAGCGUUGUCCGGAUUUAUUGGGCGUAAAGCGAGCGCAGGCGGUUUCUUAAGUCUGAUGUGAAAGCCCCCGGCUCAACCGGGGAGGGUCAUUGGAAACUGGGAGACUUGAGUGCAGAAGAGGAGAGUGGAAUUCCAUGUGUAGCGGUGAAAUGCGUAGAGAUCUGGAGGAAUACCGGCGGCGAAGGCGGCCCCCUGGACAAAGACUGACGCUCAGGUGCGAAAGCGUGGGGAGCAAACAGGAUUAGAUACCCCAGUAGUCC